rnacentral:misc_RNA from 1 species
GAUGAAGAACGCAGCGAAAUGCGAUAAGUAAUGUGAAUUGCAGAAUUCAGUGAAUCAUCGAAUCUUUGAACGCACAUUGCGCCCGCCAGUAUUCUGGCGGGCAUGCCUGUUCGAGCGUCAUUACAACCCUCAGGCCUCCGGGCCUGGCGUUGGGGAUCGGCGGAAGCCCCCUGCGGGCACAACGCCGUCCCCCAAAUACAGUGGCGGUCCCGCCGCAGCUUCCAUUGCGUAGUAGCUAACACCUCGCAACUGGAGAGCGGCGCGGCCACGCCGUAAAACACCCAACUUCUGAAUGUUGACCUCGAAUCAGGUAGGAAUACCCGCUGAACUUAAGCAUAUCAUAAGCGGAGGA